AAUUUAUUCAUUUGUUCUGAUUUCAGACGGUCCUUACACAGUGCAUCGAGAUGCAGGCCUGGGAUGAAUUUUCCGAGAAGAUGUAACUGGCACCACGUAAUGUUUCCAUAUUUGACGAGGGCAGUUAUUUGCUGGUAUAUUCUGUAUGCUCGACGUCUUCUCCUGACGCAACCCAAUGAUCAGCCAAUUUGGAGCUGCCUGAAUCAAGCGAAACGCGUCAUUGGUAAACA